ACACCUUCUGCUGUAGACUACAUAAAGACAUUGGAAGAAAGAAGACUCUCUCUUCUUCACCUGCUUGCCUUGUGGGACUGAGUGACUGCUAGAUCCUUGGGCUUCCAUUCACAGCUG
rnacentral:miRNA from 14 species